UAUGCAGGCGGACUUUUAAGUCGGGGGUGAAAUCCCGAGGCUCAACCUCGGAACUGCCUUCGAUACUGGAAGUCUUGAGUCCGGGAGAGGUGAGUGGAACUCCGAGUGUAGAGGUGAAAUUCGUAGAUAUUCGGAAGAACACCAGUGGCGAAGGCGGCUCACUGGCCCGGUACUGACGCUGAGAUACGAAAGCGUGGGGAGCAAACAGGAUUAGAUACCCUGGUAGUCCACGCCGUAAACGAUGGGUGCUAGCCGUCGGGGAGCUUGCUCUUCGGUGGCGCAGCUAACGCUUUAAGCACCCCGCCUGGGGAGUACGAUCGCAAGAUUAAA
rnacentral:rRNA from 1 species